GGAAUCUUGGACAAUGGGCGCAAGCCUGAUCCAGCCAUGCCGCGUGAGUGAUGAAGGCCCUAGGGUUGUAAAGCUCUUUCAGGUGGGAAGAUAAUGACGGUACCACCAGAAGAAGCCCCGGCUAACUCCGUGCCAGCAGCCGCGGUAAUACGGAGGGGGCUAGCGUUGUUCGGAAUUACUGGGCGUAAAGCGCACGUAGGCGGUUAUUCAAGUUGGGGGUGAAAUCCCGGAGCUCAACUCCGGAACUGCCUCCAAAACUGAAUGACUCGAGUCCGAGAGAGGUGAGUGGAAUUCCCAGUGUAGAGGUGAAAUUCGUAGAUAUUGGGAAGAACACCAGUGGCGAAGGCGGCUCACUGGCUCGGUACUGACGCUGAGGUGCGAAAGCGUGGGGAGCA
rnacentral:rRNA from 1 species